rnacentral:other from 1 species
UUUGCCCUGCGGUGUUCGGGAUUCGGUCUGUAUGCUCCCGAUCCGAUGUGAUCAAACCGGAGGUUGAUCGGGCGGAACAAUGACAGGCCUUCACUGGACGUCAGCGAUCCGCACGUAGAUCUCCACCCUUAACCUAUAUUGGGAACGGGAUCGCGACCUAACGGCAUCGCGGGGCAUCU